UAGUCCACGCCGUAAACGAUGAGAACUAGAUGUUGGGGGAAAUUGUCCCUCGGUGUCGCAGCUAACGCGUUAAGUUCUCCGCCUGGGGAGUACGCCGGCAACGGUAAAACUCAAAGGAAUUGACGGGGACCCGCACAAGCGGUGGAGCAUGUGGUUUAAUUCGAUGCAACGCGAAGAACCUUACCUGCCCUUGACAUUGACAGAAUCCUGUAGAGAUACGGGAGUGCUUCGGCCUGGAAAACNGGUGCUGCAUGGCUGUCGUCAGCUCGUGUCGUGAGAUGUUGGGUUAAGUCCCGCAACGAGCGCAACCCUUGUCCAUAGUUGCCAGCAUUUCGGAUGGGAACUCUAUGGAGACUGCCGGUGACAAACCGGAGGAAGGUGGGGAUGACGUCAAGUCAUCAUGGGCCCUUACGGGGCAGGGGCUACACACGUGCUACAAUGGUAAGUACAGAGGGUUGCCAACCGCGAGGGGGAGCCAAUCCCAGAAAGCUUAUCGUAGUCCGGGAUCGGGAGCCUGCAAC
rnacentral:rRNA from 1 species